CCAUAUAGUCAGCCAUUGUUAGCAGUUAGCUAGAUAACACCAUAUAUGAACCAAUUCCUGUCUCCAGCGCGAAUUAAAGACUACCUGGGGGCCAGCCGUGCUGCCCUGUUCUGAGCCAACUGCAAAAGUCAUUCUGUGGAACCUGAUUGGCUGUUUUUUGGAGUCUUUUAAAUGCUAAAAUCAGUUUUCAGAUGUUCCAAGCUAGCCCUCCUGAUGUCGUUUGACCCCACAUGGACUACGACAGUGUCAGCUACCGGCAUCUGUAGUAGAACAUUCGGAAGCAGCCUUGUGAUGUUCUGUACUCGUGCUCCUGGGUUGCACAGGGUUUUUGCCUUGGGAACCGAGAUGUUUCCCAUCAUAGAGCUGCUUAUGAUGACAGCUGGCGAUGUCAAAUGGGCAGGUCUCUCAGGCAUCCUCACGGUUUGAUGAGGGUGGGAGCCCCCGAGGAUCUGAACCCGAGGUAGAUGCCACCGGAGAGGGAGACAGAACAGAGGACAAAGACAUAGGUACCUCCGGAUCCGAUCUUGAAUGGCAAACCCCCAAAGAAGGCGUCGCUGGAACCUCUGGAUCCAGGGCGGCAAAGCUGUGUCGUGUCCGGGAUCAACAUCUCAAAGGAGACCCAUUUCUAGAGGAUGCUGUCUUUGACUUCCACGGCAAGUAACGUAUCUCCAUGGCUGGUUGGUUGGGUCGAGAACAGUUCCGUUCUCCAGGGAAGGGGGAGAACCCUUCAGGAUGGAACCCCGCUGAGCACCGGCCAGUCGGUUGGGGAGAGCCAACAGGAAUUGUCCGUAGUGCUCCGAGACAGGAUUGUGUCGAGGCACAGAUCUGGGAAGGGUACCAAAAAAUGUCUGCAGCAUUGAAGGUCCCCAAGAACAGUGGCCUCCAUAAUUCUUAAAUGGGAGAAGUUUGGAACCACCAAGACUCUUCCUAGAGCUGGCCACCUGGCCAAACAGAGUAAUCAGUGGAGAACCUGAGGUGACCAAGAACCUGAUGGUCACUCUGACAGAGCUCCAGAGUUCCUCUGUGGAGAUGGGAGAAACUUCCAGAAGGACAACCAUCUCUGCAGCACUCCACCAAUCAGGCCUUUAUGGUAGAGUGGCCAGACGGAUGCCACUCCUCAGUAAAAGUCACAGAACAGCCCGCUUGGAGUUUACCAAAAAACACCUAAGACCAUGAGAAACAAGAUUCUCUGGUCAGAUGAAACCAAGAUUGAACUCUUUGACCUGAAUGCCAAGCGUCACGUCUGGGCGAAACCUGGCACCAUCCCCACUGUGAAGAAUGGUGGCGGCAGCAUCAUGCUGUGGGAAUGUGUUUCAGGGACUGGGAGACUAGUCAGGAGAGGGAAAGAUGAACGGAGCAAAGUACAGAGAUCCUUGAUGAAAACCUGCUCCAGAGCGCUCAGGACCUCCGACUGGGGCGAAGGUUCACCUUCCAGCAGGACAACGAUCCUAAGUACACAGCCAAGACAACGCAGGAGUGGCUUCGGGACAAGUUUCUGAAUGUCCUUGUGGCCCAGCCAGAGCCCAGAUUUGAACCCGAUCGAACAUCUCUGGUGAGACCUGAAAAUAGCUGUGCAGCGACGCUCCCCAUCCAACCUGACAGCGCUUGAGAGGAUCUACAGAGAAGAAUGGGAGAGACUCCCCAAAUACAGAUGUGCCAAGCUUGCAGCGUCAUACCCAAGAAGACUCGAGGCUGUAAUCGCUGCCAAAGAUGCUUCAACAAAGUACUGAGUAAAGGGUCUGAAUACUUAUCACAUUUACAUAUUUCUGUUUUUUAUUCUUAAUAAACGUGCAAAAAUGCAAAAACCUGUUUUUGCUUUGUCAUUAUGGGGUAUUGUGUGUAGAUUGAGAGGGAAAAAACAUUUAAUCAAUUUUAGAAUAAAGCUGUAACUCAACAAAAUGUGUAAAGUCAAGGGGUCUGAAUAUUUUCUGAAUGCACUGUAAAUGUAAAUCAAUUAUAAUUUUUACAGUUUCGAUUUGGUUUGUCAUUUUAAUGUAUUUGGAAUUUGUUUACCCUCCACCCCCAAAAAAAUAUAUAGAAGAAAGUGAUAUAACAAAUGACAACUCUUUCCUCCUGAUCUCUUCUCUCUUACGGGGCAGGUCCCAGCUGGGGAGGGUGGUCACUAUCUGACCAAUCGUUGACUGUGUGAUGAGAGAGGUGUGUAAGGCCUCGCUGCUCAUUUUCUGGGACUCGACAGCUUCGUCCGUGUGUUGUGGGUGGUGACAACAGCCUCAUAUGGCUUAGGAGGGCAGGGUAACUCAUCUGAGCAACAUUUGAGCAGAUGUGAUAUAUACUAAAGAGUCUCAAUUAAUGAAAAGCCGCAUUUUGUGAAUAUUAAACAUACAUUUUAAAUACACCAUAUAAAACCACACAUACGUCUCAACUAAAAAUCAGAAUGAACAUGAUAAACUGCAUUCAUUUUCUCAUUAAAAGUGUCUUGGGAAAAACAUUAGGUAGUUGAACAUCAUAUCCUACACAGUACAAACACCAUGAAACCGACUUUUUAGGCUUAUAUCAUGUCUGGAUGCAAUGUUCUACCCAGGAGUAUUCAACACUGAAAUCUGUUAUUCCAAAUGUAUGUGUGGAGCUUUUCUGCUGACACCAAUUAACAUUUCUCUUUGUCUUUAAUGCAGGGUUUGAUCUAAACGUCAGAAGCUAUCGAGUGGAAUGGUUCAUUUCUAGGUCAAUCCGUGGAAUGUUUUUUCUGCUGGUGUAUCCUCGGAGUACCUCUUCCCGUAGUGCAUACAGGCAAAUGGCCUUUCCCCCGUGUGGACUUAAGUGCAUGUUCAGUUGGUGCUGGUGGGAGAACCUCUUCUCACACUUGAGGGUUGCUGUAGGAUUUCUCCCCUGUGUGGACCCUCUGGUGCCUCUUCAGGUUGCCAGCCUGGGUGAAGCGCAUAUGACACUGGGUACAGCUGCAUGAUUUCUCCCCUGUGUGGACCCUCUGGUGGAUCUCCACCUUCUGGGAGCUGUUGAAGCCUUUGUUACAGAACAUGCAGAGGAACCGUUUCUCUUUGCUAUUGCCUGAUGUGGCUCCCCAUCCCCGAGCCUGGACUCUAGCCCUGUCGUUUGAGUUCAAUACCUGAUCGAAAAGGUAUUGUGAAUCGGAAGGUGACAUCGGCGUGGACAGUGGGUCGUGAUCCCUGAGCGUGUGUAAAGGGGAGUGGGUUGCAACAGUUAGAUUUGUCUCUAAGCUUUCCCUGCAGUCUAAGAAGUCACUGGUGUUGCCCUGUGAAUGGCCUUCUCCUAAGUGAGUCUAGUCUGCAUUCCAUGUCAGAGGAGGGUCGCUCUCCACUUUCACAGUCACCUCAUCUAUCACUAUAACCUCCCCUUUCUUAUCUAGGCACCCUUCAGGGUAUACACUACUACUGUACCGGUUCCAGUCCCCUCUCAUUGGAUUAGUCUGUGUAUCUAAGAUGACUGGCAUGUCACCAGGUAUCAUCUCUGUAGCGUAUGAACAGGACGGAUCAUUGCCAGUCUGUAAUGUGUCACUUAAGUCCUGAUGGGACAGAUCCAUCCUCGGGCUUAGGUUACCAUCAAGUAAAUAUUCUGAGCGGAGAGCAGGAGGACAGCCCAAUCGCCCCAGACCUGUUAAAUUCUUGGUGUCUGUCUCUGACUUGAGGGUGGCAUCCAGUGUUCCACCAACCUCCGUGAUGCUGCGUCGGGUCCUGGGUGCGGCUGGGGAAGUGGUGGGGUCCUCCAUGGCUACAGGAGGCACUCCAGUUUGGAUGUGCCGUGGGUCAUCCUUUCCUUCAGAACUCUCCUGCUUGACCCCAGGACCUGCAGCAUCUGCAGCCUAACACAAGAGGGGAGGUUAUUGACAGUAUUGAGUAGAAUUGGGUGACAAUGCCGUAGAGAAGUCACACAAGCUCCGCUAUGGCAGAUAAAUGAUGUACAUGUAAGCAAGUGAAUAGCUGAGUGGAGCCUUUCUGAAAUGUACUGUUAUUUUGACUAUUACACUAACCUCUAUCACAAUAACAUGCUGGGUUGAGGUUCCACUCCCCUCAUCAACAGUGAUUGGUUGGUCAUCUCUCCAUGUAUUGUGUCCUGCUGGCUUCACAAAGCUCACGUGGCCUCCAGUGAGAUGUAAGUCACCCGAGAGAGUUAUUGGUGGAAAAGAAGUGGUUAGGUUAGCUACUGUCAAUGCUCAACGUUAUAUUGCAAGACAGAUAAGUAAUCAGGUGAAUUAGGCUAUCCAAAAACUAACCAAGACCCAAUUCUGGCUAACACAAAGGCACAUGUGCAGAGGGUAACGGGGCAACAGGCCACGCAGCCUCAUGCAAAAUGUACCUCUUGUCACUCCUCUGUAUCGGUCGAGGAUCUUGACACUACUGGGACGACUGGCGAGGACGCGCUCUCGCGCCACCUUCUUCAGUUCCAGUAACUGUAGUUUCCUCCGUAAUGCCCCGUUUUCUUUCUGGCUUUGAGUUAUUUCCAAACGAAACACUGCAUAGUCGUCGUCUACGAGUUUACAAAUCUCUGCCACGGCUGCAUUCGCUAGCACCUCCAUAAUGGAGGCUAUUUGAGUGUGAAAAACCACAGCCAUCGUUAGGUUAACUUUCGCAACUAGCUAGCGUUACCUAGAUAACAUAUCAACCAAGUCCUGUCUCCAAUGCGAAUAAAAUAAUAUCUGGGGGUAAGUGUGCGAUGCUGUGUAGAUAAAUUAAUAAUAUUUUGAGUUACAGGGUGUUAAUAAAACGUCUAAAUGACAACAAAAUCGCAAACGUGGAAAUAGUUUUUGGUCACGGCUCGCUUCGGUUUACGUUUGAGGUUUUUGUCGGCGAACUACACCAAAAUCGUGUAUUACGGCCACCUACUGUGUGGGGUCAUAACUGGGAGUUAAAGGAAUAGUAUAUGCAAAUUAUAUUUGGUUCAAAUUACCCUUAGCUAUCUUGAGUUGUGUCUUAAGGCUCAUGGUGACAGAAUCCACAAUAAUCACAUGUUUUACAUAUGGCUAGAGCCUGGAGUUAGCAUAUUAUAGGGUGUACACCCACUAAACGCUCUCUGGUUUUGAAAUUUCACUUAUGUUAUAAAAUACGUUUUACCAAUACUUAUGAUUCUUCAUGUUCUAACUUGCUCAGUGGGGUCUCUAACGUAUCAUUAACAUUAUAUCCAAAAAGUAAUAUUUCGUAACCUAAUUACGUCCAAUAAUAAGCAGCGCGCUCUGUUGAUAGAGCAGUGCAGCUUAUUUUUACCGCGGGUCGUAAAAAACUAAAUUAACAUGACACGAGCUGAAUUAAAUGUAAAACGCUUUGAAAAUAAAAUGCUUGCGGUAUGCUCAGUGCUCUGUUGACAUUUCAGAGUAAUGCUGGUUGUUCUGAGCAAUCUUUCAAAAUUACACACUUCACAAUAAGAAAAGCGUAUACUAAAAUAUGAAAAUACUACAUGUCAUGUCUCAAAAUCAAUCUAUCUUACCUCUAUAUUAUUUUAUGUCCUCCGGAUUCGAAAAGAAAGAUAAGUUCGACAGGUGAGCCUGUCAGUUUGUCACAAUUCUCGCACAGCAUCAUAGCUGGCACAAUACUAUUUCAAAUAUAUUUUUAGCACUUUUUUCUCUGGCCGCAAAACACUUCAAGUUGGUGGAGUUAGCAGGGAUUUUUUUGUAACGUGCAUACUGUUGGAAUUUGGUUAAUCAGAACUGGAGCUAUUUCCUUAUCGAGCCACAGCACAGAGCUUCUCGAUCUACCAGUGAGGACGUCAUCUACCUUGGGCAGGCACUCCGGCGCGGACUACUUUCCAGAUGUCACAAAACUGACAGGUAAACGCAGGAAGUAUCAGGGCAUUCUACAAUUAUACUUUUAUUGCAUAAAAUAACUACCUUACGGUUUUAUCGCUAUCAAACCCUAUUUUGAAGUGUUAGAAAUUGCGACUUGCAGUGUAGCUUUGCGAACAUCGGUUUGGCUGUUUCUAAACUGAAAUGUGUGUGUGUGUGCAUCAUCGUAAGAGGUCUGCCUACGGGUCCCGACAGAGAUCAUUGCGGCGCGGUCGGCAUUUUUCAUACUGCGGGUGGGAGCCGGUGGUCAUAAAACAACUUUGGGAUGAAAAUAUUUCUGUCGUAUUUCUGCUUUGCAAUGCGUUAGCCUAGUCCUACCUAUUGUAUUAAAAGUACAUAUUUGUCACAUUAUUCACACUCGGAAUUCGCUGCUUCAAUUUCAAUAGCCUACCUGUCCUAGUUGGGCUUGCCUCGUAUACUGGACACAAAUAUGCACGCAACAUGUCGGUCCCAUGUUUAAUGAGCUGAAAUAAAACGUCCCAGACAUUUUCCAUAUGCUAAAAUGUAGUGCACAAAUUUGUUUACAUCCCUAUUUGUAAGCAUUUCUCCUUUGCCACGCACCUGACUGUGGCAUAUCAAUAAACUGAUUAAACAGCGUGAUCAUUACACAGGUGCAACUUGUGCUGGGGAAAAUAAAAGUCGACCUUAAAAUGUGCAGUUGUCACUCCACACAAUGCCACUGAUUUAUCAAGUUUUGAGGGAGUGUGCAAUUGGUAUGCUGACUGCAGGAAUGUCCAACAGAGCUGUUGCCAGAGAAUGUAAUGUUAAUUUCUCGAGCAUAAGCCGCCUCCAACAUCAUUUUAGAGAAUUCGGCCGUAUGCCCAACCGGCCUCACAACCGCAGACCACGUGUAUCCAGGCUCCCCAGUGGGUGGGCCAAAGCCCGCCCAUGGCUGCGCCAAUGUAAAAUCCAUAGAUUAAGGCAUAAUUCAUUUAUUUCAAUCGACUGAUUUUCUUCUAUGAACUGUAACUCAAUAAAAUAUUUGAAAUUG